GAGAGUGUGUGCCACAGAUAUGGAUUCGCAUGCAAAUGCAAAAGCCGAUUCCAAGAAGAAUCAAUCAUCUAAUCACGACGAGAAUCAAGUGAAAACUUCCUCUGUCUUUAUCGUCUGGAAGUCGGACAAAUCGAAACCUUCACCGCACAAAGCUGCAACUAAAACUGUUUUUUCUCAUUCACUUUCUCAUAGGUCCUUUACAGGUCUUUUCUGAAAAAACAAGGGACCGCUCUUGUGUAAGACAAACGCCGAUGGUUCCAGCAUUCGUGCAACACUGCAUGCAUUUUUUGUUUCUUGUAUUUCCUACACAUUUCCUUAUAAUUGACUGUGCCGCGCAAAUAAACGUACGAUGAUAUUUUGAA